AAGCUUAGCGAAGUGAACUCGGCGAAACUCCGAGACUGUCCCGCAACUGUAUAGUCAGAUCCUUACUAAGCAU
rnacentral:ncRNA from 2 species